GAAAGAGUUUUGUGCUUUGGAACCAGUUAUCAAUAGCACGGCAUCUGAUGCAGAGGAUCAAAAAGCUUUCCUUGAUCGUGCAAAAACUCUUGCAGAUAUGAAGUUCCUUUAUGUUGUCCCGUGUCAGGUCUAUGACAAUCAGAAAAACUACUGGAACCAUUAGGGCUGCAGUUGCUACACCAAUACUCCACAGCUCAUGCUCAGAUAAUAAGUUUAUAUAUAUUUGUUCUCAUUUAAAGUUUACAAUCGAUGUGCGUUAGUUGUGUCAAAUUAUGUAGGUAUCCAUAACUAAUGUUUUCUUACGUAGAUGAGAGUGGGGGAACCACCAGGGAACUUCCAACAAAGCUUAUGGCUGCGUACUUUUCUAGGGAGGUAACACUUUUGAAAAGGUAAUCUGAUUUUUUCUUUCUAUCAUGUGGAAGACGGUCACCGAAUCUUCAAUGUUAUGAUUUCUUGCUCUCCCCCUGAUUCAUUAUUAUGUUUCUUCUCUGCGUCUUCGUCGCUCCACUGAUCCUCUAUCCCAUGUUGACCAUUGUUGUUUUCCGACCAUGUAUAUGUAGAUUCUUGUUCAUGGAUACUGAAUUCACAACCCGUUGAUGAUCCAAUUUGUUGGUUUACUACUCAUGGGUUGCUCCAUUUUCUGUAUUGUAGUUGUUUGCCGUUUUUAUAAUUUUUCCUUCCAUAUUUAUCAAAUUAAAUUGUGGGCUGGAGAAUUUGUUAGGUGAAUUGUUUGUUGAAAUUGUUAGAUGAGUUUUUCCGUGAGCUUUCUGGGAGAGUUUUAAACGUGUUUUAGGUGAAUUUGCACCGCUUUACCAUGUUCUUGUGAUAUAUCUGUCUAAGGGUAUUCUGUGUAAUCAGAUAUAACUUAAGUCUGAAUUUGUGUGAAUAAGACAAGGUAGUCACUGCUUUUUUUUUAUAAAGGUAGUCACUGUUGUUAAUCAAUCGAAUCAUAACUUGCUUAAGUCUGAUUGAUUGUUGCCUAUGGCCACCCUCGGGUAUGCUCCAUCGUUUACUUCAGUCUGAGCAAUGUUUCUUUUUAGUAUGUGGUGUAAACCAGUAACAUGAUGGCAUCACUGUGAUUCAUUCAUCCUAUUGUGUUUUGUCUAUAAACAAAACGUAUAUGCUGGUAAGUUCUAGAUUUCUGUCUUACCUAUCUAUGUAAAAUAUAUCGUCGUCUUUGGAGUCUCUUGCAUUUACUUAUGCCAGUUUUUCUGGGAGAUGUUCUACAAACAAGUUAUGGAGCUUCAAUCGUACUAGGACUAUCAAUAGCACAUACUCUCACCUACUGAUACAUCUUGAACUGAAUUAGCAAAUGCUCUUUGCUAUCUCUUUCGCAAUCGCAACCAAUAUUUUUAGUGUCUACUGUCCCAGGGCAUCUGAUGCAGAGGAUCAAAAAGCUUUCCUUGACCUCGCAAAAACUCAUGCAGAUAUGAAGUUCCUUUAUGUUGUCCCGUGUCAGGUCUACGACAAUCAGAAAAACUUCCUGGACCAUUAGGGCUGCAGUCGCUACACCAACACUCCACAGCUCAUGAUCAAUUAAUAAGUUUUUAUAUAUUUGUUCUCAUUUAAAGUUCACAUCGGUGUGCUUUUGUUGUGUCAAAUUACGUAAGUACCCAUAACUAAUAGUUUCUUACGUAGAUGAGAAGGAGGAAACCGCCUAGGGAACUUCCAACAAAGCCUAUGGCUGCGUACUUUUCUAGGGAGUUUUGAAAAGGUAAUCUGACUUUUUGUUUCUAUCACGUGGAAGACGUUCACCGAAGAUUCAAUGUUACUAGGCAGUGCUGAAUUUGAGUUUUAUGAAGUGGAUGAUGUAGUACAGAAACCUUUGAAGCUUCAACAUUGCCAGAAAGUUGCAGGGGAAAAAAGGCUUGUACUUUGAACCGUUUGUCAAUAGCAUACCUCGAUCUAUUGGUACAUCUUGAAGUGGAUUAACAGAGUUUUUAAUGCUAUUUACUAUAUCUCUAUCAAUCGUUUUUGUUCCUACAAGGCCUUAGGUACAUUUGGUGAGUUAAUGGAGGUAUCUUCUAUAAUGUUAGUUAUGAGUCGACGAUACUUGUUACUUUCAACUGCGCUCUCACACCAUCAUCAAAACGUGGUUUUAGAAGAAAACAUGUGGGUGUUUUGACAAUUUACUGCAAAGAUGAUGUUCUUUAUUACGAGUAAGGCCUUAACAAGAAAGACGAAGAUGGAAUAUCGGUUCUGUCUAUCAACAAAAUGUAUAUGCUGAUGAGAGGGAGGAAACCGCCGAGGGAACUUCCAACAAAGCCUAUGGUUGCGUACUUUUCUAAGAAGGCAACAGUUUUGAAAAGGUAAUCUGACUUUUUCUUUUUAUCAUGUGGAAGACGGUCACCGAAGCUUCAACGUUAACCGGGAGCCUUUUUAAAAACAUAAGUAAUCCUGAAUUUGAGUUUUAUGAAGAGCUUUUGCUUUGAUAUGUCUGAUUAUAGAUAAAACGGUGUUUUUUAAGUAUGAUUUUGAAAAUCUACGGAGUCUCUUGGGCCACAAUUAGGUGGAUGUUGUUGUAGAUACAACCUUUGAAGCUUCGGCGUUACCAGGAAGUUGCCUGGGAAAAAAGAAACUUAUCGCACUCUUUUCUAAGGCGUGGAAUGAUUUCCUUCAGGUGAAUCUCUCUCUUCUUUUUGCGACUUUUCUUAUUGCAUUGCUUGCCGCCGUAUCACAAUCUUUGAAGCUUCUGUUUGUGAGUCCUUCAAGAGAGCCUUACACGCCCUCGUCCUUCAGGUACAUGACCAUCAGAAAAGUUCUAGGCACCUACUAGGAGUGCAUUUGCUACACCGAUAUUUCACACCACAUGCUGAAGUUAUGUUAAGUUUCUUAUAUAUUUGUUCCGAAUUAAACUUUUUCAAUCUAUUUGCUUUAGUUGUGUCAUAUUAUGUAAGUACGCAUGACUAAUGGUUUUUUCAUGUAGACGGGAGUGAGGAAACCGCUGAAAGAACAUUCCUCAAGGUCUAUGGCUGUGUAUUUCUCUAGCGAAGAAACUCUUUUGAACAGGAAAUCUGAUUUUUACUUUGUCAUGUGGAAGACGGUCACCGAAGCUUCAUUGUUACCGGGAGUUGUCACAACUUUUUUGAAUUUGAGUUUUAUGGAAUAAGAGCUUUUGCUUUGAUAUGCCUGAUUAUUGAUAAGAGUGGGUCGUUUUUAAGUAUGAUUUCUUAAAUCUGCGCAUUCUCUUGUGCCAAUUAGGUGAAUGUAGUACAGACAACCUUUGAAGCUUCAAUAUUGCCGGGAAGCUGUUGGGGAAAAAAGGGUGUUUUGACAAUUUACUGCAAAGAUGCUGUUCUUUAUUCUGAGAAAGGCCUUAACAAUGAAAACGAAGAUGGAAUAUCAGUUUUGUCAAUCAAUAAAAUGUAUAUGCUAUGCUGUGUCUACUAUGACAGGGCAUCUGAUGCAGCGGAUGAAAAAGCUUUCAUUGAUCAUGCAAAAAUUCAUGCAGAUAUGAAGUUCCUUUAUGUUGUCCCGUUUCACGUCUAUGACAAUCAGAAAAACUCCUGAAACCAUUAGGGCUGCAGUUGCUACGUUAAUACUCCACAGCUCAUGCUGAAAUAAUAAGUGUAGAUAUAUUUGUUCUCAUUUAAAGUUUACAAUCGGUGUGCUUUAGCUGUGUCAAAUUAUGUAAGUACCCAUUACUAAUUGUUUCUUACGUAGAUGAGAGGGAGGAAACCACCGGGGGAACUUCCAUCAAAGCUUACGGUUGCAUACUUUUCUACGGAGGCAACAGGUUUGAAAAGAUGAGAGGGAGGAAACUGCCGAGGGAAAACAAAGCCUAUGGCUGCAUACUUUUCUAUGGAGUUUUGAAAAGGUAAUCUGACUUUUUGUUUCUAUCAUGUGGAAGACUCACCGAAGAUUCAAUGUUACUAGGCAGUGCUGAAUUUGAGUUUUAUGAAGUGGAUGAUGUAGUACAGAAACUUUUGAAGCUUCAACAUUGCCAGGAAACUGCAGGGGAAAAAAGGCUUGUACUUUGAACCGUUUGUCAAUAGCAUACCUCGAUCUAUUGGUACAUCUUGAAGUGGAUUAACGGAGUUUUUAAUGCUAUUUACUAUAUCUCUAUAAAUCGAUUUUGUUCCUACAAGGCUUUAGGUACAUUUGGUGAGUUAAUGGAGGUAUCUUCUAUAAUGUUAGUUAUGAGUUGACGAUACUUGUUACUUUCAACUGCGCUCUCACACCAUCAUCAAAACGUGGUGUUAGAAGAAAACAUGUGGUAAUAGCGUCUCUAUUUUUCCUUGCUCCUAUGGAUCUUAAAAUUUUUCAUCUUCUUCUGGUCAUGGAUCUGAUCUUUGAUAGGUUUGCCAAUACAUGAAUAGAGGGAUUUGCUUCUUUUACCAUCUUUUUCUGGUCAUGGAUCUUGCUAAUCCUUGUGUGUAAUUUUCCUGUUUCUUUUGUGACUCUGAUAUGCCGAAUAUUCCAUGUGAAACUCACACGUUCUCCUUCAGGUGGAUCUCUAUUAUACUCAGGAAUUUGUGUUAAUGCAUUAGUAAACGAAUCAGUUUAUUGGAAAACUAAUGAAUGAU